rnacentral:rRNA from 1 species
UGAGCGACCUAUCAGCUUGUACUUAGGGUCUUUACCUAGGUAGGCUAUCACGGGUAACGGGCGGUUACCGUCGGACUGCCGGAGAAGGCGCCUGAGAGAUAGCGACUAUAUCCACGGGUAGCAGCAGGCGCGAAACUUUCCCACUCGAGACUUUCGGAGGAGGUAAUGACCAGUUUCAUGUGAAGCUUAUGCUUCUGUGAAUAGGAUCACACUUUUCCAGUGUGGUGAAACCUAGCAGAGGGCCAGUCUGGUGCCAGCAGCUGCGGUAAUUCUAGCUCUGCGAGUUUGCUCCCAUAUUGUUGCAGUUAAAACGCCCGUAGUCUGAAUU